rnacentral:rRNA from 1 species
UAGGGAAUCUUCCGCAAUGGACGAAAGUCUGACGGAGCAACGCCGCGUGAGUGAAGAAGGAUUUCGGUUCGUAAAACUCUGUUGUUAGGGAAGAAAAAAUGUAUAGUAACUAUAUACAAAAGAGACGGUACCUAACCAGAAAGCCACGGCUAACUACGUGCCAGCAGCCGCGGUAAUACGUAGGUGGCAAGCGUUGUCCGGAAUUAUUGGGCGUAAAGCGCGCGCAGGUGGUUUAGAAAGUCUGAUGUGAAAGCCCACGGCUCAACCGUGGAGGGUCAUUGGAAACUAAUAAACUUGAGUGCAGGAGAGAAAAGUGGAAUUCCUAGUGUAGCGGUGAAAUGCGUAAAGAUUAGGGGGAACACCGGUGGCGAAAGCGGCUUUUUGGCCUGCAACUGACACUGAGGCGCGAAAGCGUGGGGAGCAAACAGG